CGUUGCAAGUUCCCGAGAGGAUUCGCUUAGAAUUAAGUGGAGAUGCCUUGUAACCGAAAAUUAAUCAGGGGGAAUCAUAA
rnacentral:sRNA from 1 species